CCUACGGGAGGCAGCAGUGAGGAAUAUUGGUCAAUGGACGAGAGUCUGAACCAGCCAAGUAGCGUGAAGGAUGACUGCCCUCUGGGUUGUAAACUUCUUUUAUAUGGGAAUAAAAUGUUCCACGUGUGGGAUUUUGUAUGUACCAUAUGAAUAAGGAUCGGCUAACUCCGUGCCAGCAGCCGCGGUAAUACGGAGGAUCCGAGCGUUAUCCGGAUUUAUUGGGUUUAAAGGGAGCGUAGGUGGAUUGUUAAGUCAGUUGUGAAAGUUUGCGGCUCAACCGUAAAAGUGCAGUUGAAACUGGCAGUCUUGAGUACAGUAGAGGUAGGCGGAAUUCGUGGUGUAGCGGUGAAAUGCUUAGAUAUCACGAAGAACUCCGAUUGCGAAGGCAGUUCACUGGACUGCAACUGACACUGAGGCUCGAAAGUGUGGGUAUCAAACAGGAUUAGAUACCCGUGUAGUC
rnacentral:rRNA from 1 species